rnacentral:rRNA from 1 species
GAUGAACGCUGGCGGCGUGCCUAAUACAUGCAAGUCGAGCGAACAGACGAGGAGCUUGCUCCUCUGACGUUAGCGGCGGACGGGUGAGUAACACGUGGAUAACCUACCUAUAAGACUGGGAUAACUUCGGGAAACCGGAGCUAAUACCGGAUAAUAUAUUGAACCGCAUGGUUCAAUAGUGAAAGACGGUUUUGCUGUCACUUAUAGAUGGAUCCGCGCCGCAUUAGCUAGUUGGUAAGGUAACGGCUUACCAAGGCAACGAUGCGUAGCCGACCUGAGAGGGUGAUCGGCCACACUGGAACUGAGACACGGGCGAGACUCAGACGGGAGGCAGCAGUAGGGAAGCUGCCGCAAUGGGCGAAAGCUUGACGGAGCAACGCCGCGUGAGUGAUGAAGGUCUUCGGAUCGUAAAACGCUGUUAUGAGGGAAGAACAAAUGUGUAAGUAACUAUGCACGUCUUGACGGUACCUAAUCAGAAAGCCACGGCUAACUACGU